GUGCUCACUUUGGCAGCACAUAUACUUAAAUUGGAAUGGUACAAAGAAGAUUAGCAUGGCCCCUGCCCAAGGAUGACAUGCAAAUUGGUGAAGCAUUUCAUAUUUUU
rnacentral:snRNA from 1 species